CCUACGGGAGGCUGCAGUGGGGAAUAUUGGACAAUGGGCGAAAGCCUGAUCCAGCCAUGCCGCGUGUGUGAAGAAGGCCUUCGGGUUGUAAAGCACUUUCAGUGGGGAAGAAAGCCUUGGGGCUAAUACCCUCGAGGAAGGACAUCACCCACAGAAGAAGCACCGGCUAACUCCGUGCCAGCAGCCGCGGUAAUACGGAGGGUGCGAGCGUUAAUCGGAAUUACUGGGCGUAAAGCGCGCGUAGGCGGUCUGAUAAGCCGGUUGUGAAAGCCCCGGGCUCAACCUGGGAACGGCAUCCGGAACUGUCAGGCUAGAGUGCAGGAGAGGAAGGUAGAAUUCCCGGUGUAGCGGUGAAAUGCGUAGAGAUCGGGAGGAAUACCAGUGGCGAAGGCGGCCUUAUGGACUGACACUGACGCUGAGGUGCGAAAGCGUGGGUAGCAAACAGGAUUAGAUACCCGUGUAGUC
rnacentral:rRNA from 1 species